rnacentral:rRNA from 1 species
UUCGGUGGUCAUAGCGGUUGGGGAACACCCGGUCCCAUUCCGAACCCGGUAGUUAAGCCUUCCAGCGCCGAUGGUACUGCACU